rnacentral:rRNA from 1 species
UACGGAGGGGGCUAGCGUUGUUCGGAAUUACUGGGCGUAAAGCGCACGUAGGCGGCUUUGUAAGUUAGAGGUGAAAGCCCGGAGCUCAACUCCGGAAUUGCCUUUAAGACUGCAUCGCUUGAAUCCAGGAGAGGUGAGUGGAAUUCCGAGUGUAGAGGUGAAAUUCGUAGAUAUUCGGAAGAACACCAGUGGCGAAGGCGGCUCACUGGACUGGUAUUGACGCUGAGGUGCGAAAAGCGUGGGGAGCAAACAGGA